AGCCACGUGGGGGAGGAUGAGAAGAGGCUAAAUAUAGCCAUGGAAAAAACAACCAGCAGACUAGAAAGCACCUUCAGGCUUAACAUCAACAGUGAGAGGCUGUCAUUUCCCAGGAUUCCUCAGCCAUGCUCCGGUGAUACCUGUUUGAAAUCGGACUUCAGGCAAGCUGGUUCCUUCUCGUGUGGCUAAGACGAUGCAGCCAACUCACCCUGUUUAUGGAACAAGUUGCUGAUCCCAGCCCUGCCACUCCGUUCUUGUUGGCACGGCUGCUGCUAGUGAAGAUGGAGAGAGCCCCCCAAGGAAUGUCAUUUUCAAAAUGGUGCAGAACUGCUUCCCGCAAGGCCUGACAUCCUCCUCAUUGUGGUUUCUGUGAGUGCAAGAGGAUCUUUCUUUUGUAUUUUUUUGCGCUCUGCUGGGAUUGGCCGUGCAAUGCCGUGAUUGCUGAUGGAGUGCUUACAGCUGCAGAGGGCAGUGCCCGGACUCUGCAGUGGCCAGGCUCAAUGAUAUAAUAUGCAUAGGUGCUGGUAAAGCUGAAACCCACUGCCCUGAGUUGGAUAAAUCAGGAGUAUCGUUACUGCGCCUCAAGGUCAGGGAACCUGAUGGCUGCCACAGCUGAUGGGCACCAGAAGAAGAGAACUCUUUCCUGUGUGUGUGUGUGUGUGUGUGUGUGUGUGUGUGUGUAGAGGGCGGAGGAGGUGGAGUGAGAUGCAUGGGUGGGGAACAAGAAAAAGUGACAAAGGAUCUAUAGUGAUUUCACCAGCAUUUUAAUAUAUUUUCUUAAAAAUUAUUUUUUUAAAUGUUUAUUUUUGAGAGAGACAGAGUGUGAGCGGGGCAGGGACAGAG